rnacentral:rRNA from 1 species
GACGAACGCUGGCGGCGUGCUUAACACAUGCAAGUCGAACGGACAGGCCCUGCUUUUGUUGCGUGCUCGAGUGGCGAACGGGUGAGUAACACGUGAGUAACCUGCCCUUUACUUUGGGAUAACUUCAGGAAACUCGGGCUAAUACCGGAUAUGAUCUCCUGCUCCAUGGUGGGGGUUGGAAAGUUUCGGCUGUUGGAGAUGGACUCGCGGCUUAUCAGCUUGUUGGUGUGGUAGUGGCUUACCAAGGCUUUGACGGGUAGCCGGCCUGAGAGGGUGACCAGCCACAUGGGGACUGAGAGACGGCGCAGAAGCCUACGGGAGGCAGUAGGGGGGAAUAUUGCACAGUGGGCGGAAGCCUGAUGCAGAAACGCCGCGUGCGGGAUGACGGCCUUCGGGUUAUAAACAGCUGUCGCAUGUGACGAAGAGGGAGUGACGGUAAUGAGUAAAGAAGCAACGGCUAACUACGUG